AAGNUCUAACCUGCCCAAUGAGGAUUUAAAUGGCCGCAGUAUUUUGACUGUGCAAAGGUAGCAUAAUUAUUAGUUUUUUAAUUAAAAGCUUGUAUGAAGGGUUGGACGAGAUAAAAUCUGUCUCUAUUUAAAUUAUAUUAGAAUUUAACUUUUAAGUCAAAAGGCUUAAAUUGUUAUAAAAGACGAGAAGACCCUAUAGAUCUUUAUUUAAUUAAGAUUUUAAUAAUUUAAGAUUACUUUAAUUUAAAGUUUUAAUUAAAUUUUAUUGGGGUAAUAUAAAGAUUAAAAAAAUUCUUUUUAUUUAUUACAUAGAUUUAUGAAUAUAUGAUCCAGUAUUGCUGAUUAUAAGAUUAAGUUACCUUAGGGAUAACAGCGUAAUUUUUUUGGAGAGCUCAUAUCGAUAAAAAAGUUUGCGACCUCGAUGUUGGAUUAAAAAUUAGCUUGGGUGCAGAAGCUCGAGAUUUUGGUCUGUUCGACCAUUAAAUUUA
rnacentral:rRNA from 1 species